rnacentral:rRNA from 1 species
UACGAAGGGGGCUAGCGUUGCUCGGAAUCACUGGGCGUAAAGCGCACGUAGGCGGCUUCUUAAGUCAGGGGUGAAAUCCUGGAGCUCAACUCCAGAACUGCCUUUGAUACUGAGGAGCUUGAGUCCGGGAGAGGUGAGUGGAACUGCGAGUGUAGAGGUGAAAUUCGUAGAUAUUCGCAAGAACACCAGUGGCGAAGGCGGCUCACUGGCCCGGUACUGACGCUGAGGUGCGAAAGCGUGGGUAGCAAACAGG